GACUCGGGGAAUAUUGCCCGAAAGUGAUGUACCCCAAAGCGGCGUUGUACGUCCAAACACAUGGUCCCAUCUCAGCACUAAGCUGCUCCCACGCUCUAAUUGGUGGAAGCUGUGUCGGUACCGCUAGAAAGGACUUUCGCCGAUGUACCCCAGCUUUUGAAUUUCACGGGUGACUGAUCUGGACAAGUCCAUCAACUCUCAUUUAAAAAAAAUGUUGAUCAACUCUAAUAAAAACCGAUCGUUAAAAAAAAACAAAUCCAAAAGCAUCCAGCUUAGAGCAUGUUCAUGUAAAGUGCUUAG
rnacentral:lncRNA from 1 species